rnacentral:rRNA from 1 species
AUUGAACGCUGGCGGCAUGCCUUACACAUGCAAGUCGAACGGCAGCACGGGUGCUUGCACCUGGUGGCGAGUGGCGAACGGGUGAGUAAUACGUCGGAACAUGUCCUGUAGUGGGGGAUAGCCCGGCGAAAGCCGGAUUAAUACCGCAUACGAUCUACGGAUGAAAGCGGGGGACCUUCGGGCCUCGCGCUAUAGGGUUGGCCGAUGGCUGAUUAGCUAGUUGGUGGGGUAAAGGCCUACCAAGGCGACGAUCAGUAGCUGGUCUGAGAGGACGACCAGCCACACUGGGACUGAGACACGGCCCAGACUCCUACGGGAGGCAGCAGUGGGGAAUUUUGGACAAUGGGCGAAAGCCUGAUCCAGCAAUGCCGCGGGUGUGAAGAAGGCCUUCGGGUUGUAAAGCACUUUUGUCCGGAAAGAAAUCCUUGGCCCUAAUACGGUCGGGGGAUGACGGUACCGGAAGAAUAAGCACCGGCGAACUACGU